rnacentral:rRNA from 1 species
UGGGGAAUAUUGGACAAUGGGCGCAAGCCUGAUCCAGCCAUGCCGCGUGAGUGAUGAAGGCCCUAGGGUUGUAAAGCUCUUUCACCGGUGAAGAUAAUGACGGUAACCGGAGAAGAAGCCCCGGCUAACUUCGUGCCAGCAGCCGCGGUAAUACGAAGGGGGCUAGCGUUGUUCGGAUUUACUGGGCGUAAAGCGCACGUAGGCGGACUAUUAAGUCAGGGGUGAAAUCCCGGGGCUCAACCCCGGAACUGCCUUUGAUACUGGUAGUCUUGAGUUCGAGAGAGGUGAGUGGAAUGCCGAGUGUAGAGGUGAAAUUCGUAGAUAUUCGGGGGAACACCAGUGGCGAAGGCGGCUCACUGGCUCGAUACUGACGCUGAGGUGCGAAAGCGUGGGGAGCAAACAGG